AUUGAACGCUGGCGGCAGGCCUAACACAUGCAAGUCGAGCGGAUGAAGGGAGCUUGCUCCUGGAUUCAGCGGCGGACGGGUGAGUAAUGCCUAGGAAUCUGCCUGGUAGUGGGGGAUAACGUCCGGAAACGGGCGCUAAUACCGCAUACGUCCUGAGGGAGAAAGUGGGGAUCCUCGGACCUCACGCUAUCAGAUGAACCUAGGUCGGAUUAGCUAGUUGGUGGGGUAAAGGCCUACCAAGGCGACGAUCCGUAACUGGUCUGAGAGGAUGAUCAGUCACACUGGAACUGAGACACGGUCCAGACUCCUACGGGAGGCAGCAGUGGGGAAUAUUGGACAAUGGGCGAAAGCCUGAUCCAGCCAUGCCGCGUGUGUGAAGAAGGUCUUCGGAUUGUAAAGCACUUUAAGUUGGGAGGAAGGGCAGUAAGUUAAUACCUUGCUGUUUUGACGUUACCAACAGAAUAAGCACCGGCUAACUUCGUG
rnacentral:rRNA from 1 species